GAUGAACGCUGGCGGCGUGCUUAACACAUGCAAGUCGAACGAAGCACUUUAUUUGAUUUCCUUCGGGACUGAUUAUUUUGUGACUGAGUGGCGGACGGGUGAGUAACGCGUGGGUAACCUGCCUUGUACAGGGGGAUAACAGUUGGAAACGGCUGCUAAUACCGCAUAAGCGCACAGCAUCGCAUGAUGCAGUGUGAAAAACUCCGGUGGUGUAAGAUGGACCCGCGUUGGAUUAGCUAGUUGGUGAGGUAACGGCCCACCAAGGCGACGAUCCAUAGCCGACCUGAGAGGGUGACCGGCCACAUUGGGACUGAGACACGGCCCAAACUCCUACGGGAGGCAGCAGUGGGGAAUAUUGCACAAUGGGCGAAAGCCUGAUGCAGCGACGCCGCGUGAGCGAAGAAGUAUUUCGGUAUGUAAAGCUCUAUCAGCAGGGAAGAUAAUGACGGUACCUGACUAAGAAGCACCGGCUAAAUACGUG
rnacentral:rRNA from 1 species